AAGAAGCAUUGGGGAGAGGUGAUUAGGCAGGACAUGACUAGAAUGCAGGUUACCGAGGACAUGACCCUUGAUAGGGGAGUCUGGAGGUCUAGAACCAGGGCUGUAGGCUAGGGGCUCAUGGAGUUCUUCGUACGCCUCUCCCGGGGUUGGGUGUGGAUAGUAGGGUUACCCAUAGAUGAUUAGUGUUUUAGCUUAUGUCCCCUUAUGGUCGUUAGUAUGGUAUAUACUGCUUGUUAUUAUUGCAUGCGACUGUAUUUAUGUUUCUUAUGUUUACAUAAUUACUUACGUUAUCUCUGCGGGAUUACUUAUGCUUUUGUUUCUAANNN
rnacentral:lncRNA from 1 species